UACCUUGAGGCCUACAAAUAC
rnacentral:siRNA from 1 species